rnacentral:sRNA from 2 species
GAAGCAGGAAAAUGCGAGCCGAAAUCGAAAACGUGGUCGAUGAAACCAAGCAGGCUAUCACCCUGCUGAGGAGGCAUCUUUGACUGGGACCAGGCGAUAAGACGACUGGACUGGUUGAACAACAAGGCAGAGGAUCCGAACCUCUGGAACGAUGCGCAGGAAGCGCAG